rnacentral:tRNA from 1 species
GUUUCCAUAGCUCAGUGGUACAGCAUCUGCUUCAUAUGCAGAAGGUUCCAGGUUCAAUCCCUGGCACCUGAAAUA